rnacentral:rRNA from 1 species
GAUGAACGCUGGCGGCGUGCUUAACACAUGCAAGUCGAACGGAAAGCCCCUUCGGGGGAAUUCGAGUGGCGAACGGGUGAGUAACACGUGGGGAAUCUGCCCUUCUCUCUGGGAUAACUCGGGGAAACUCGAGCUAAUACCGGAUAUUCCGACCAGGUCGCAUGGCCAGAUCGGGAAAGCUCCGGCGGAGAAGGAUGACCCCGCGGCCCAUUAGCUUGUUGGUGAGGUAACGGCUCACCAAGGCGACGAUGGGUAGCCGAGCUGAGAGGCUGAUCGGCCACACUGGGACUGAGACACGGCCCAGACUCCUACGGGAGGCAGCAGUGGGGAAUCUUGCGCAAUGGGCGAAAGCCUGACGCAGCAACGCCGCGUGCGGGAUGAAGGCUCUCGGGUCGUAAACCGCUUUCAGCAGGGAUGAAAUUGACAGUACCUGCAGAAGAAGCCCCGGCUAAAUACGUGCCAGCCGCCGCCGUAACAC